CUAGGGGUAGUAUAUUAGGAAGUACACAAAGUUUUGGAUUUUGUAGUGCAGGUUCGUUGCCUUGCCCCGUAGG
rnacentral:tRNA from 1 species